UACGAAGGGGGCUAGCGUUGCUCGGAGUCACUGGGCGUAAAGGGUGCGUAGGCGGGUCUUUAAGUCAGGGGUGAAAUCCUGGAGCUCAACUCCAGAACUGCCUUUGAUACUGCAAGUCUCGAGUCCGAUAGAGGUGAGUGGAAUUCCUAGUGUAGAGGUGAAAUUCGUAGAUAUUGGGAAGAACACCGGUGGCGAAGGCGGCUCUCUGGACCGAGACGUGACGCUGAGGCGCGAAAGCGUGGGGGAGCAAACAGGGAUUAAGAA
rnacentral:rRNA from 1 species